UACGUAGGUGGCAAGCGUUGUCCGGAAUUACUGGGUGUAAAGGGUGCGUAGGCGGCCCUUUAAGUCAGAUGUGAAAGCCCGCAGCUUAACUGCGGAAUUGCAUUUGAAACUGGAGGGCUUGAGUGUCGGAGAGGGUAGUGGAAUUCCCAGUGUAGCGGUGAAAUGCGUAGAUAUAUGGAGGAACACCAGUGGCGAAGGCGACUUACUGGUCUGUGAUUGACGCUGAGGCUCGAAAGCGUGGGUAGCGAACAGGAUUAGAUACCCCGGUAGU
rnacentral:rRNA from 1 species